GGCUUUUUGAAAAUGAUUUAAAGUCUAGCCUGCCCAAUGAUGUAAUAAUUUAAUGGCCGCAGUAUUCUGACUGUGCAAAGGUAGCAUAAUCAUUAGUUUUUUAAUUGAAAGCUUGUAUGAAAGGUUUGAUGAGAAAAAAGCUGUCUCUAUAUAAAUUUUUAGAAAUUUAUUUUUAAGUUAAAAAGCUUAAAUUUUCAUUGAAGACGAGAAGACCCUAUAGAGUUUGAUUUCUAUAAUAGUAGAUAAAAUUUAGUAAUUAAAAACUUAUUUAUUAUUGUAUAAAUUUAGUUGGGGUGAUUGAAAAAUUUAUAAAACUUUUUUUGUAUUUUUACAUUUAUUUGUGAGUAUUUGAUCCUUUAUAGAUUAUAAGAUGAAAUUACCUUAGGGAUAACAGCGUAAUUUUUUUUAGAGUUCUUAUCGAAAAAAGAGAUUGCGACCUCGAUGUUGGAUUAAAAAUAAAUUUUUGGUGUAGAAGCUAAUAAAUUAGGUCUGUUCGACCUUUAAAUUUUUACAUGAUCUGAGUUUAAACCGGUGUAAG
rnacentral:rRNA from 1 species